AGCGAAAGCUAGUUGUAUUAUUAGUUAAUGCAAGAUCGACUACGUGACUAAAGUUCUAGGUAGAAUAAUGAUGAUGACAAUUUUUUACCUAUAUGUCUUGACCAAGUCUCGUGCCAGCAGUCGCGGUAAUACGUGGAAGACUAGUGUUAUUCAUCUUUAUUAGGUUUAAAGGGUACCUAGACGGUAUUUCUAGCCCAAAAUAGGGUACGGAUUUACUAGAGUUUUAUGUGAGGAGGGGAGUACUCGUGGAGUAGAGAUGAAAUUUUGUUAUACUAUGAGGUAACUGGUAGCGGCGAAAGCAACCUUCUAUGUAUAAACUGACGUUGAGGGACGAAGGCUUGGGUAGCAAAUAGGAUUAGAUACCCUAGUAGUCCAAGCAGACAAUUCUGAAUGCCAUAGAUUAGAUUAUUUUUGAUCUAUAAAUGAAAGUGUAAGCAUUCCACCUUAGGAGUAAUGUGGCAACACAGGAACUGAAAUCAUUAUACCGUUUCUGAAACCAGUAAUGAAGUAUGUUAUUUUUUUGAUGGUCC
rnacentral:rRNA from 1 species